rnacentral:lncRNA from 1 species
GAGAUGAUGGUAAAAAAAAACAGGAAAAGAAACGGGACUGUAGGUAUUAGAGGUAUCACCCGCUCAGCUCUGAUUUUGGUUAGCGACAGAGGAAGAAUAACAACAAAUAAGUUCUUCAUGGGUCAGUGUGGGUGUUUGUGUAAGCUUUAGGAGAUGAGAUUAGCUCCUUUUUUUUCGCAAAAAAAAAAGAGAUUAGCUCCUUUUCUUCAUAUUCUUUUAAUUUAUUUUUAUUCCAGAGAUUUUUCUUCUAAAUUCAGCUACUAGUAGUUCCCAAGAAGGGUGGCAAAAACAAAUUGUAAGCAAUGCGUAUUCCUCCACCUGAUUUUUUUUUGCCACCCAAUCCUAAUGUGCGUGUUUUGCUCCGCCACAAAAAGUUGCUUAAACUUUGGACGAAAAUCGUAAAUGAAC